rnacentral:rRNA from 1 species
GACGAACGCUGGCGGCGUGCCUAACACAUGCAAGUCGAGCGAUGAAAUCCCUUCGGGGAUGGAUUAGCGGCGGACGGGUGAGUAACACGUGGGUAACCUGCCUCAAAGUGGGGGAUAGCCUUCCGAAAGGAAGAUUAAUACCGAAUAAUAUUAGAUUUUCGCAUGAAGAGCUAAUUAACGAAGCAAUUCGCUUUGAGAUGGACCCGCGGCGCAUUAGCUAGUUGGUGAGGUAAUGGCUCACCAAGGCGACGAUGCGUAGCCGACCUGAGAGGGUGAUCGGCCACAUUGGAACUGAGACACGGUCCAGACUCCUACGGGAGGCAGCAGUGGGGAAUAUUGCACAAUGGGGGAAACCCUGAUGCAGCAGCGCCGCGUGAGUGAUGAAGGUCUUCGGAUUGUAAAGCUCUGUCUUUUGGGACGAUAAUGACGGUACCAAAGGAGGAAGCCACGGCUAACUACGUGCCAGCAGCCGCCGUAAAAC